CGAUGAUACGCGAGGAACCUUACCAAGGCUUAAAUGGGAAUUGAUCGGUUUAGAAAUAGACCUUCCUUCGGGCAAUUUUCAAGGUGCUGCAUGGUUGUCGUCAGCUCGUGCCGUGAGGUGUUAGGUUAAGUCCUGCAACGAGCGCAACCCCUGUCACUAGUUGCUAGCAUUAAGUUGAGGACUCUAGUGAGACUGCCUACGCAAGUAGAGAGGAAGGUGGGGAUGACGUCAAAUCAUCACGGCCCUUACGCCUUGGGCCACACACGUAAUACAAUGGCCGGUACAGAGGGCAGCUACACAGCGAUGUGAUGCAAAUCUCGAAAGCCGGUCUCAGUUCGGAUUGGAGUCUGCAACUCGACUCUAUGAAGCUGGAAUCGCUAGUAAUCGCGCAUCAGCCAUGGCGCGGUGAAUACGUUCCCGGGCCUUGUACACACCGCCCGUCAAGCCAUGGAAGUCUGGGGUACCUGAAGUCGGUGACCGUAAAAGGAGCUGCCUAGGGUAAAACAGGUAACUAGGGCUAAGUCGUA
rnacentral:rRNA from 1 species